GCCAACGACGAUACCACGCUGAAUACAUCGGUUCUCGUUCGAUCAAAAAUAAGUAGCGACGGGCGCGGUUAGUUCUUAUAUGGGGGACAGCUUGGGUACACCGCGUGUUGUUGACA
rnacentral:rRNA from 1 species